AUUGAACGCUGGCGGCAUGCCUAACACAUGCAAGUCGAACGGCAGCACGGGCAUCGCCCUCGCUUCGAGUUGCCGACGGGCGGGUAAUUCAGCGGUACGUGGCCAGCUGUUUGGGCUAGCCCGGCAAAGGACGGAUUAAUACGCUAAUCCACCAUACGAUGUACGCGUGGGACCAAAAGGCCUCCCGCUAUUGGACGGGCCGAUGUCGGAUUAGCGAGUUGGUGGGGUAAAGGCGUACAAAGGCGACGAUCCGUAGCUGGUCUGAGAGGCCGAUCAGCCACACUGGAACUGAGACACGGCCCAGACUCCUACGGGAGGCAGCAGUGGGGAAUAUUGGACAAUGGGGGCAAGCCUGAUCCAGCCAUGCCGCGUGCGGGAAGAAGGCCUUCGGGUUGUAAAGCGCUUUUGUUGGGGAAGAAAAGCUGCAGGCUAAUACCCCGGGGGGCUGACGGUACCGAAAGAAUAAGCACCGGCUAACUACGUG
rnacentral:rRNA from 1 species